GACGAACCGAGCGAACGUUGUUCGGAAUCACUGGGCUUAAAGGGCGCGUAGGCGGGCUGCCAAGUCCGGGGUGAAAUCCUCCGGCUUAACCGGAGAAUGGCCUCGGAUACUGGCGGCCUGGAGGGGUGUAGGGGCGUGCGGAACUGUGGGUGGAGCGGUGAAAUGCGUUGAGAUCCACAGGAACUCCGGUGGCGAAGGCGGCACGCUGGACCUUUUCUGACGCUGAGGCGCGAAAGCCAGGGGAGCGAACGGG
rnacentral:rRNA from 1 species